CGGAGGGUGCAAGCGUUAUCCGGAUUUACUGGGUUUAAAGGGUGUGUAGGCGGGCUAUUAAGUCAGCGGUGAAAUCUCCGGGCUCAACCCGGAAACUGCCAUUGAUACUAUUGGUCUUGAAUGUUGUUGAGGUGGGCGGAACGGGUCAUGUAGCGGUGAAAUGCAUAGAUAUGACCCGGAACACCGAUUGCGAAGGCGGCCCGCUAAGCAACUAUUGACGCUGAGGCACGAAAGCGUGGGGAUCAAACAGGAUUAGAUACCCUGGUAGUCCACGCCCUAAACGAUGAUUACUCGACGUUGGCGAUACACUGAUCAGCGUCCAAGCGAAAGCAUUAAGUAAUCCACCUGGGAAGUACGUUCGCAAGAAUG
rnacentral:rRNA from 1 species